UACGUAGGGGCCAAGCGUUGUCCGGAUUUAUUGGGCGUAAAGAGCUCGUAGGCGGUCGUGUAAGUCGGGUGUGAAAUCUCCGGGCUCAACUCGGAGGGGCCACCCGAUACUGCUCGACUCGAGUCCGGUAGGGGAGUGGGGAAUUCCUGGUGUAGCGGUGAAAUGCGCAGAUAUCUGGAGGAACACCGGUGGCGAAGGCGGCAUCCUGGACCAUUACUGACACUGAAAAGCGAAAGCCAGGGGAGCAAACGGG
rnacentral:rRNA from 1 species